rnacentral:rRNA from 1 species
UACGUAGGGGGCAAGCGUUGUCCGGAAUCAUUGGGCGUAAAGGGCGCGUAGGCGGCCUGUUAAGUCGAACGUGAAAUCCCCGGGCUCAACCCGGGAACUGCGUCCGAUACUGGCAGGCUUGAAUCCGGGAGAGGGAUGCGGAAUUCCAGGUGUAGCGGUGAAAUGCGUAGAUAUCUGGAGGAACACCGGUGGCGAAGGCGGCAUCCUGGACCGGCAUUGACGCUGAGGCGCGAAAGCGUGGGGAGCAAACGGG